rnacentral:rRNA from 1 species
GAUGAACGCUGGCGGCGUGCCUAAUACAUGCAAGUCGAGCGAACGGACGAGAAGCUUGCUUCUCUGAUGUUAGCGGCGGACGGGUGAGUCAUACGUGGCUAACCUACCUAUAAGAAUGGGAUAACUUCGGGAAACCGGAGCUAAUACCGGAUAAUAUUUUGAACCUCAUGGUUCAAAAGUGAAAGCCGGUCUUGCUGUCACUUAUACGUGGAUCCGGGCUGCAUUAGUUAGUUGGUAAGGUAACGGCUUACCAAGGCAACGAUGCAUAGCCGACCUGAGAGGGUGAUCAGCCACACUGGAACUGAGACACGGUCCAGACUCCUACGGGAGGCAGCAGUAGGGAAUCUUCCGCAAUGGGCGAAAGCCUGACCGAGCAACGCCGCGUGAGUGAUGAAGGUCUUCGGAUCGUAAAACUCUGUUAGUAGGGAGGAAGAUAAGUGUAAUUAACUGUGCACAUCUUGACGGUACCUAAACAAAAAGCCACGGCUAACUACGUG